rnacentral:rRNA from 1 species
GUUAAAAAGCUCGUAGUUGGAUUUCUGUGAGAGUAUGAUGUCCUAACGUGUUUAGAGCGCAGAAAACUCUUGCAUCCUUCUGUUACCUCCACGUGGCAUUCGCUUGCCAGUGGUUGGCUCAGAGAAUUUACCUUGAGAAAAUUAGAGUGUUUCAGGCAGGCUUAGUCGGAAUACAUUAGCAUGGAAUAAUAGAAUAGGACUCCGGUCUCGUUGUUGGUUUGAGGGACUGUAGUAAUGAUUAAUAGGGAUAGUUGGGGGCAUUAGUAUUCGGUUG